rnacentral:rRNA from 1 species
AAAAGAAGAUCAAGAAGAGCUUCAGAAUGAAGCUUUCUUGGUGGAGGGGAGCGGCAGACGGGUGAGUAACACGUGGGAACAUACCCAUCUCUGCGGAACAACUCCGGGAAACUGGAGCUAAUACCGCAUACGCCCUUCGGGGGAAAGAUUUAUCGGAGAUGGAUUGGCCCGCGUUGGAUUAGCUAGUUGGUGGGGUAAAGGCCUACCAAGGCGACGAUCCAUAGCUGGUCUGAGAGGAUGAUCAGCCACAUUGGGACUGAGACACGGCCCAAACUCCUACGGGAGGCAGCAGUGGGGAAUAUUGGACAAUGGGCGCAAGCCUGAUCCAGCCAUGCCGCGUGAGUGAUGAAGGCCUUAGGGUUGUAAAGCUCUUUCACCGAUGAAGAUAAUGACGGUAGUCGGAGAAGAAGCCCCGGCUAACUUCGUGCCAGCCGCCGCAGUAA